rnacentral:tRNA from 1 species
GCGGCUGUGGCGGAACCGGUAUACGCGGCGGACUUAAAAUCCGCUGGGCCAUCCCAUGCGGGUUCGACUCCCGCCAGCCGCACCA